CCUACGGGCGGCAGCAGUGAGGAAUAUUGGUCAAUGGACGCAAGUCUGAACCAGCCAUGCCGCGUGCAGGAAGACGGCGCUAUGAGUUGUAAACUGCUUUUGUACGAGGGAAAACGCAGAUACGCGUAUCGGUCUGAAAGUAUCGUACGAAUAAGGAUCGGCUAACUCCGUGCCAGCAGCCGAGGUAAUACGGAGGAUUCAAGCGUUAUCCGGAUUUCUUGGGUUUAAAGGGUGCGUAGGCGGUCGGAUAAGUUAGAGGUGAAAUCCCGAGGCUCAACUUCGGAAUUGCCUCUGAUACUGUUCGGCUAGAUAGUAGUUUCGGUAGGCGGACUGUUUGUUGUAGCGGUGCACUGC
rnacentral:rRNA from 1 species